AUCCAAAUGGUGUAGUGGUUUGAAUGUUAGACUACAACUCUGGAAACUAGGGUUCAAAUCCCCAUACAGCCA